CCCUUAGAUGUUCUGGGCCGCACGCGCGCUACACUGAUGCAUUCAACAAGCCUAGCCUUGACCGAGAGGUCCGGGUAAUCUUUGAAACUGCAUCGUGAUGGGGCUAGAUUAUUGCAAUUAUUUAUCUUCAACGAGGAAUGCCUAGUAAGCGUGAUUCAUCAAAUCGCGUUGAUUACGUCCCUGCCCUUUGUACACACCGCCCGUCGCUCCUACCGAUUGAAUGUGUUGGUGAGGAGCUCGGAUUGGCAGCAGUUGGUGGUUCGCCACCGGCUAUUGCUGAGAAGUCCUCCAAACCGCCCCAUUUAGAGGAAGGAGAAGUCGUAACA
rnacentral:rRNA from 1 species